CUCUUUCACCUCCAUCUCUCUUUCUUCUACACCUCUCUUUCCUCUAGACCUCUCUUUCCUCUAGACCUCUCUUUCCUCCACCUCUCUUUCAUCUACACCUCUCUUUCCUCUACACCUCUCUUUCCUCUACACCUCUCUUUCCUCUCCAUUUAUCUGAAAACAGUCUCGAGGGAAAAUUACUUGGGUAUGAGUUAGAAAUGUCAGUGUUGGUAAUUUGGGGUUUAUCGUCCAAGCUCUACUUUAGACUAUUGAGAUGCAGCCCUAUUAGGUCACAUAGGAGGCCUCAACCCUCUGCAGACUGAUCUAUCAGCUAAUUAUAGAUCUGCCAGGAAAGAGAGAGGAGGAGUGUGUAUCAGGGAAGCAAGGACUAAAUGAAGAAGGAGAGGAAAGAAAGUCAGGAAGAAAAAAGGAUGUAUGUUUGCCAGAAAGAAGGGAGAGAAAAUGGAAGGUGCUAAGGAGUGAUGGAGAGAAGAUGGAAGGUGGUACGGAGUGAUGAAGAGAAGAUGGAGGUGGUAUGGAGUGAUGAAGAGAAGAUGGAGGUGGUACGGAGUGAUGAAGAGAAGAUGGAAGUGGCUAAGGAGUGAUGGAAAGAAGAUGGAAUGGGCUAAGGAGUGAUGGAGAGAAGAUGGAAGGUGGUAAGGAGUGAUGGAGAGAAGAUGGAAGGGGCUAAGGAGUGAUGGAGAGAAGAUGGAAGGGGCUAAGGAGUGAUGGAGAGAAGAUGGAAGGGGCUAAGGAGUGAUGGAGAGAAGAUGGAAGGGUCUAAGGAGUGAUAGAUGGAAGGGGUUAAGGAGUGAUGGAGAGAAGAUGGAAGGGUCUAAGGAGUGAUGGAGAGAAGAUGGAAAGGGCUAAGGAGUGAUGGAGAGAAGAUGGAAGGGGCUAAGGAGUGAUGGAGAGAAGAUGGAAGGGGUUAAGGAGUGAUGGAGAGAAGAUGGAAGUGGUUAAGGAGUGAUGGAGAGAAGAUGGAAGGGGCUAAGGAGUGAUGGAGAGAAGAUGGAAGGGGCUAAGGAGUAAUGGAGAGAAGAUGGAAGGGGCUAAGGAGUGAUGGAGAGAAGAUGGAAGGGGCUAAGGAGUGAUGGAGAGAAGAUGGAAGGGGCUAAGGAGUGAUGGAGAGAAGAUGGAAGGGGCUAAGGAGUGAUGGAGAGAAGAUGGAAGGGGCUAAGGAGUGAUGGAGAGAAGAUGGAAGGGGCUAAGGAGUGAUGGAGAGAAGAUGGAAGGGGCUAAGGAGUGAUGGAGAGAAGAUGGAAGGGGCUAAAGAGUGAUGGAGAGAAGAUGGAAGGGGCUAUGGAGUGAUGGAGAGAAUCUGACCAUUUUUUUGUUGUUGUAGUAAUGACAAUUACAACAAUACUGAAUGAACACUUAUUUUAACUUAAUAUAAUACAUCAAUAAAAUCAAUUUAGCCUCAAGUAAAUAAUGAAACAUGUUUAAUUUGGUUUAAAUAAUGCAAAAACAAGGUGUUGGAGAAGAAAGUAAAAGUGCAAUAUGUGCCAUGUAAAAAAGCUAAGGUUUCAGAUCCUUGCUCAGAACAUGAGAACAUAUGAAAGUUGGUGGUUCCUUUUAACAUGAGUCUUCGAUAUUCCCAGGUAAGAAGUUUUAGGUUGUAGUUAUUAUAGGAAUUAUAGGACUUUUUCCCUCUAUACCAUUUGUAUUUCAUUAACCUUUGACUAUUGGAUGUUCUUAUAGGCACUUUAGUAUUGCCAGUGUAACAGUAUAGCUUCUUCCCUCUCCUCGCUCCUCCCUGGGCUCGAACCAGCAACACAACGACAACAGCCAUCAUCGAAGCAGCAUUACCCAUGCAGAGCAAGGGAAACAACCACCCCAAGGCUCAGAGCGAGUGAAGUUUGAAACACUAUCAGCGCACACUAACUAGCUAGUCAUUUCACUUCGGUUACACCAGCCUCAUCUCAGGAGUUGAUAGGCUUGAAGUCAGAAACAGCACAAUGCUUGACACACAACGAAGAGCUGCUGGCAAAACUCACGAAUGUGCUGUUUGAAUGAAUGUUUACACGCCUGCUUCUGCCUACCACCGCUCAG